rnacentral:rRNA from 1 species
AUUGCACGCUGGCGGCAGGCCUAACACAUGCAAGUCGAACGAGUGGCGGACGGGUGAGUAAUGUCUGGGAAACUGCCUGAUGGAGGGGGAUAACUACUGGAAACGGUAGCUCAUACCGCAUACCAUCAGAUGUGCCCAGAUGGGAUUAGCUAGUAGGUGGGGUAACGGCUCACCUAGGCGACGAUCCCUCGCUGGUCUGAGAGGAUGACCAGCCACACUGGAACUGAGACACGGUCAAGACUCCUACGGGAGGCAACAGUGGGGAAGAUUGCACAAUGGGCGCAAGCCUGAGGCAGCCAUGCCGCGUGGAUGAAGAAGGCCUUCGGGUUGUAAAGUACUUUCAGCGGAGAGGCGUUACCCGCAGAAGAAGCACCGGCUAACUCCGUGCCAGCAGCCGCGGUAAUAC